GCAUUAAUGGGGUAGUGGUAACCUGGGUCGUUGCCAUCACGGAAUGUCGAAAGUAUGAUUCGACCCGCCGGGGGUUCGAUUCCCCCUUAAUGCA